GUGGGGAAUAUUGCACAAUGGGCGAAAGCCUGAUGCAGCGACGCCGCGUGAGCGAAGAAGUAUUUCGGUAUGUAAAGCUCUAUCAGCAGGGAAGAAAAUGACGGUACCUGACUAAGAAGCACCGGCUAAAUACGUGCCAGCAGCCGCGGUAAUACGUAUGGUGCAAGCGUUAUCCGGAUUUACUGGGUGUAAAGGGAGCGUAGACGGUUGUGUAAGUCUGAUGUGAAAACCCGGGGCUCAACCCCGGGACUGCAUUGGAAACUAUGCAGCUAGAGUGCCGGAGAGGUAAGCGGAAUUCCUAGUGUAGCGGUGAAAUGCGUAGAUAUUAGGAGGAACACCAGUGGCGAAGGCGGCUUACUGGACGGUAACUGACGUUGAGGCUCGAAAGCGUGGGGAGCAAACAGG
rnacentral:rRNA from 1 species